CAGUCGCCACGGUAAUACAGAGGGUGCGAGCGUUAAUCGGAUUUACUGGGCGUAAAGCGUGCGUAGGCGGCUUCUUAAGUCGGAUGUGAAAUCCCUGAGCUUAACUUAGGAAUUGCAUUCGAUACUGGGAAGCUAGAGUAUGGGAGAGGAUGGUAGAAUUCCAGGUGUAGCGGUGAAAUGCGUAGAGAUCUGGAGGAAUACCGAUGGCGAAGGCAGCCAUCUGGCCUAAUACUGACGCUGAGGUACGAAAGCAUGGGAAGCAAACAGGAUUAGAUACCCCGGUAGUCCCUGUCUCUUAUAC
rnacentral:rRNA from 1 species